UCAGGACUGGAUUGAAAAAAGGGCAGUCCAUGCCAUGGGUAGGUUGCAGGUUGCAGGGAAGGGCUGAGACCCAGCAGCAGCAUCCCACCGCUUCUACACGUUUCUAAGACAACACUUCUUCACACUUCUGCUCAGAGGAUCCACUCUGUUCGUAGGAAAAGUAGACCUUGGUGUAUUUCCUGUCAAAGCACAUGGAAAUACAAGUGGAUGUGCCCUUGCCAGCCCACGUGAGUGAAAAGUGGGACUGCAGUGUUGUAUCAUAUACCCAUGAAAGUGAGGGCUGAAGCCCAGUGUCCUGCCUGACCAGAAGUCACUUCAAACGAAGGUCUGAAGGCUGAUGUCUCUGACAAAACACCGGUUCUCUGACUCUAUCCCAUGGUUUGGUUAACGCAUGUGGACUCGAAAAUCUAAGAUUGCGUCAAGGCCAAGAAAACUGGAGCAAUUUGCUGCUACACUGAAGUGCAAAUGUCUGCCUAGGACAGAAGGAAACUGCUGAUCUGGCACAUGGAUUUCAGCAGUAGAUGAUUUUGUUUCACUAGAGCUUGGAAUGAUGAUGACAGAUGUUAGCUCCUGCAACAGAGACUCUGCAUAAAGCUGCUCUGAAGCAGCCAUCAGAUCCAUACACUUGCUAAUCAAGUCACAGUUAAAGUGCUAAGCUUCUCAUUCCCGAAGUUUAUCAGGUUUGGUGCUAGACUUCUAAUUGUAUCACCAAUUGACAUUUUUUGCAUUCUCUUGGGCCUUUAUAGUACAGGAAGCUGUGAGGUAAAAAGGUUUUGUAGAUUUCUUCUGAAAAUGAAAAUAAAGUGGAUAGUUCUA